CAGUCGCCGCGGUAAAACGGAGGGGGCUAGCGUUGUUCGGAAUUACUGGGCGUAAAGCGCACGUAGGCGGCCUUGUAAGUUAGAGGUGAAAGCCCGGGGCUCAACCCCGGAAUUGCCUUUAAGACUGCAGAGCUAGCAGGUGAGAGAGGUGAGUGGAAUUCCGAGUGUAGAGGUGAAAUUCGUAGAUAUUCGGAAGAACACCAGUGGCGAAGGCGGCUCACUGGCUCAUACUGGACGCUGAGGUGCGAAAGCGUGGGGAGCAAACAGGAUUAGAUACCCCCGUAGUCCCUGUCUCUUAUAC
rnacentral:rRNA from 1 species